rnacentral:lncRNA from 1 species
GGCAGAGAAGGGAGAGGACUGCAGCCAGCCCUUGGAAGUUGGAAGACAAGACUAAGUUUUCCACUCUCCACUCAAGGCCUCGCCUUCUUGGCUCCAGAUCAUACUCCAACUAGCCCUUCCCCACACCUGCGCUGCCCCAUACUGACUUCAGGGGUCUGGAGAAAGGACACGGUCACCAGUGUGAAGUACGGGCCUGGUUUCCCCGGGGAGAACAGAGUCAGCCUAUCUCCCUGCCCAACCUCACCACCUGAGGACCUGUCCAGGCCCCGUGUCUACACCACACCCCACUAGCCCUUGGCUGGCUCGGCCUGGCAGUGACCACGGGCCCCGGGCUCUCUUCUCUCCACCUUCCCAGGGCCUGGAUGGCCUUUGAGUAAACAGAUAGCCCAGCGAGGUAUGUGAUCAAUUAGCUUUGCUGAAAAUGCAAUCAUUUUGUUAUUCCAAGCUGAUGAGAAGGCCUGCUCUCCCAGCCUCCACAUGCCAAUCAGCCCGUGUCACCGAUAUAAUUUUCC